AGCCAUGACAUAGGAAUAGAGCUUCUCCAGUCCCAGUGCUGUGUGGGAGAGCGGGGUGGUUAGGAAAUGAGACAAGGAGUUCUGGGGCAGGCAAAAUGGUGGGGAGCCUAGGUGGAACAUGGCUGAGAUCCCGGUGAAGAGGACGCAAGGGACAGGGCCAUAGGUGGUGCUGCGGGUGGACAGGGUGGGUACAGGGAGAACAAUUGCUGUGGCCCAGGGCCCCGAUAAACCUUAAUCAUCCUCCGUGCUCCAUCUUCUAUGAUCAACAGAGGGGAAAUUGUUCCAUUCAGCAAAAGGAAGAAAGGUGGUCGUUGUGCAUACCAUGAAAGAAGCCCUGCGACUCUUUGAAAUGUUUCAUGACAGUGCAGUCGGUGGACAUCUUGGAAUACUCAAAACGAGGAACGUGCUGACAUCAAAACACUAUUGGCCAGGGAUGACAAAAGACAUUACCAAUUGGGUUGCACAAUGCCUGACUUGCCAGAAACAGGGAAAGCAAUCAAAUCUGGAUACCACCUUGAAAAGCAUAAAGGUCACGCGGAUCUGGGAAUUGUUGGGAAUGGAUUUAAUAGGACCAUUACCAACAACAAAGGAU